rnacentral:rRNA from 1 species
GAUGAACGCUGGCGGCGUGCCUAAUACAUGCAAGUCGAGCGAACAGACGAGGAGCUUGCUCCUCUGACGUUAGCGGCGGACGGGUGAGUAACACGUGGAUAACCUACCUAUAAGACUGGGAUAACUUCGGGAAACCGGAGCUAAUACCGGAUAAUAUAUUGAACCGCAUGGUUCAAUAGUGAAAGACGGUUUUGCUGUCACUUAUAGAUGGAUCCGCGCCGCAUUAGCUAGUUGGUAAGGUAACGGCUUACCAAGGCGACGAUGCGUAGCCGACCUGAGAGGGUGAUCGGCCCCACUGGAACUGAGCACGGGUCAAGACUCCUAGGGGAGGCAGAAGUAGGGAUUCUUCCGCAAGGGGCGAAGGCCGGACGGAGCAACGCCGCGUGAGUGAUGAAGGUCUUCGUAUCUAAAAACUUUUUUAUGAGGGAAAAAAAAAUGUGAAAGUAACUAUGCGCGUCUGGAGGGUACAUAAUCAGAACGCCACGGCAAACUACGUC